rnacentral:rRNA from 1 species
GACGAACGCUGGCGGCGUGCCUAAUACAUGCAAGUCGAGCGAAGUUUUUCUGGUGCUUGCACUAGAAAAACUUAGCGGCGAACGGGUGAGUAACACGUAAAGAACCUGCCUCAUAGACUGGGACAACUAUUGGAAACGAUAGCUAAUACCGGAUAACAGUAUUUCUCGCAUGAGAGAUAUUUAAAAGUUGGUUAUGCUAACACUAUGAGAUGGCUUUGCGGUGCAUUAGCUAGUUGGUGGGGUAAAGGCCCACCAAGGCGACGAUGCAUAGCCGACCUGAGAGGGUGAUCGGCCACACUGGGACUGAACCACGGCCCAGACUCCUACGGGAGGCAGCAGUAGGGAAUCUUCCGCAAUGGGCGAAAGCCUGACGGAGCAACGCCGCGUGAGUGAAGAAGGAUUUCGGUUCGUAAAGCUCUGUUGUUAGGGAAGAAUGGAUAUGUAGUAACUAUACAUGUAAGAGACGGUACCUAACCAGAAAGCCACGGCUAACUACGUG